rnacentral:lncRNA from 1 species
CUUAUUGUCAUUUUCAAUUUAUAAGAAUUAAAAAUAUAUCUAAAUAUUCAAAUAUGUAAAAUAGAUAAUUGCAACAGAAUACAAUCGUAAUUUUUGUUUUGUUUAUUUCAGCUGAUGAAAUUGAUGAAAUUGAUGAGAUGCUUUUUGUUGUUAAACCACCUAAAACUAUUUGCCGCAAUGUGCACAAAUACAGAAUUUCAUUAGCAAUAGUAAACAGAAUGAAUUCGGGGUAAUGUGUUCAAUUUUUUUUUUGGUAUUUCAUCCUUCUUUAUGAUUUAUAAAAAAAUCAGGGUCUAAAAAGAAUAUUUUUGGAGAUGUUUUUUUAUUGAGGAAUGUUUUUCGUUGUACGUCGUUAGUUAAGGGCAUACGUGACAGGUUCAGAGGAGGUAAUGACGUUGCUAACGUAAAAUGUUAUUUUCGCUACGUCAAACUGUGACAAAUAAGGAAAAGAUUCAUUUUUCGACUGAUUUUUUCAUUCCAACUGAUUUGAUUUGUAAACGAGUUCGUGGACUCCUCUUUUUUACAUUCGGUUUGAUUACAUAUGCAGAUUAUUUGAACCAAAUUGCACGAAAAAGUCAAUGAUGCAAUUUUUUUUAAAUUCAAUAAAUAUGCAGCAAAAAAAUUAUACGUUUUUUUCUACAUUCUUGAGCAUUUGAUUAAGCAAAAUAUUUCAUAAAUAUAGGAUACUUAUAUCUCACAGAACUUAUAAAUAAUUUAAAUAAAACAGCAUGACGUCUUUAUCUUUUAAAAAAAAUCAUUUCUAUCUAGUGGAAAAAUACGUCCACAAAUCCGAAUUUUGAGCAAAUAUCUGCAAUUUCGACCUCAUUUUACUCAAAAAGUAGCACAUGAAGAUAUAUUUUUUAUUACAUAUUUGAUUUCAGCAGGCAAAAGAUGGCCUAUAUAUCGUAAGGGGAAAAAUUCUCACCGUCAGAAAUAAACUGUUGGAUAUGCACUUAAUACUAUUUCUCACCAUUAUUUUCGUUAUGGCAAGUGGUCAAUAGUUUACAUUGUCUAUACCAGAAGAUGCCCGCGAAAUCGCGAUACAAUUAGUCAAGUGCAGGGGCGGAUCCAGCUAUUUUUAAAAGGAAGGGUUUCAACUGUUUGUCCCCUUUUAAAUGCAUAAAUCGUCAGAAAAGGAGUGUUCCAACCACUAAAACCCAUCCUUGAUACGAAAAUUAAGUCUGAAAACAAACAAAAAUCGUAGGGAGUACUUCGACUGUGCGCAAAAGUGACCGAUAACGGUCUCCGCGGAAUUUGGAUAUUUCUAAAACAUUGCGGUUUGUUUUUAGGAACAAAAAUAGUUUCAAAGACAAAUCUAGGAUGUACAAUAAUUGUCAAAGGUACAAGGGUUGUAACUUAGUACUCCAGACGCGCGUUUCGUCUACAUAAGACUCAUCAGUGACGCUCAGAUCAAAAUAGUUAUAAAGCCAAACAAGUACAAUAUUGAAGAGCAUUGACAUCCCAGAAUUCCAAAACGUUUUGCCAAAUACAGCUAAGGUAAUCUAUUCCUGCGAUAAGAAAAUCUUUGGUUUUUUUUCGAAAAAUUCAAAAUUUUGUAACAGGAAGGAGUAGGAAAUUUAUAAAAAUGACCAUAUAAUUGAUAUUCAUGUCACCACCGAAGUGCUGACUGCUGGGCUGGUGAAACCCUCGGGGACGAAACGCUCACCAGUAGUGUCAUCGACACAGUGGUGUUAAUAGUUAUCAAAGGUACCAGGAUUAUAAUUUAGUACGCCAGACGUGCGUUUCGUCUACAUCAGUGGCGCUCAGAUCAAAAUAGUUAUAAAGCCAAACAAAACACUACAUUUCUACGUCACAUCACAAAUAUGUCCGACUUUAUAUUGUUUCAAAGGAGUUGCAGUUCAAUAAAAUCGGUCUCUUCCUUUAGUAGUAUAGAUGCAAUGUUUGAUCUAGUUACGUUACAUUAGUAAUUAUUGUAUUUGUUUUCUCCUAUUGCAUAUUUCUUAAGCCUUGCUGUACUGUCGGGUGUAAGCUGACAAAUAAGGAUUUUGUCGAUACUAAAGGCCGAAUUACAACGUGAGUUCUGAGACAUAUCGUCGUUUGUUCUGUGCUGGUUAUUUUUUUCGUUGACAAUCUAAGCAUAUUCUUGCCUAAAUUUCAUUGGAUAGUUAUUUUUCUUAAUGCCAGAAAGAAUAUUUGACUUAAACUUAACGAUAAUGAAUUGUAGAUUUCCCAUCUGUAGUGUUAUUUCACCUUUGGACUUUUCAUAGUUCAUUUCAUAAAAUAUAUCAUAUAUGAUCAUAUGUAAACGAGGAAAUGAUAUGUAGUUUUGAAAACCAACUUGCAUAUGAACAAAAUAUCGAUUAAUCACAACGUAAAGACUUUCCAAUUAAACUCACUCUAUGUUUGAUUUAUAUGUGCAAUUUUAAUUAAUAAACUCAUCAUAUAUACCAGGAUAAAAACACAUGAACGCCAAACGCUGGUAUCAUUUACUUACGACUCACCAGUAACGCACGUAUUAACAACGUUUAAACACCAAGUGAGGCACAAAGCAUGCAUUGAGCAGUAAUAAUUGAAAUUGGAAUAAGUAACUAAAGUUAGAGGUUAGCAUGAUAUUCAACUAUAAUAAAUAUUGUUUUUGUAUUUUAUCAGUUUUAUACAAAACUUCUAAAUGAGGUGAAAGAUAUAAUCCUGGUACCUCUGAUAACUAUAUGCAGGCUUCUUUAAACUUUAAUGUUGAUGUUGCCGAAUAUCGAUUAGAUAUGUGAUAUCGUUGUUAUUUUCGCGUCACUGAUAGAUCUGUUUUAACGUCAAUAAAUAUCAAAGGUACCAGGAUUAUAAUUUAGUACGCCAAUAAGUUGUUAUACAAGAAUCAUAUUUUUAAAUCCUUAUACAAAGAGGAGUUUAUGAUAAUACAACAGUUUUGGUUCCUAAUGUACGAAAAUGAAAAAAGUAGUAUUUCAAAUAAUAUAACAUCAUUCAAAUGUUUGUAAAACGUCGGUCGUUGAAAUGUCAUAAGUAUUGCAAACGGAACACUUUCCGUGCCAAACUUUAAAAAAUGACAAAGGAUCUUCCUUUUUUAGCUAUUGUUUACAAGUUAUAAGAUUUUAGCCAAGAUUGUUCCCAAAAUAUACACAUCUAGCGUCAUAGCAUCUAUUUGAUACAAAUAAAAAUUUUCGGUCUCAUGUAAACAAUUACUAUGUUUACUAAAAGUCAGUUGUCAUCAACUAUUCCACAUAAGGCUGAAUACAUUUGAUUGUUUACCUACAGGGUUGAACAGAAAUACUAAUCAGUAGAGAGAUCUAGUGCAAAUCUACAGUGUUUUUCUAAUUUUAAAUUUAUAUUUUGUUUCAGUAAGGGAACAAGUCAAGCAAGGACUUUUGCAAACAGUCUGAGGAAAUAUAAGUGGAACUUUGAAACUGGAUACUAGUAUUGUGGAAAUAAUGUUGUUAUAUUUCUUUCUCAAUACGAUAGGCAGGUAUAAUAAAAAAUAUUAUCAUCCUUCCCUACGGCUAUAUCUGUUUCCUCAACGUAUCCGUAAAACUCGUAUCACGAUAGCGCGUGCUCUGAGGAAACAUUAUCAACUUGAGGUGGAAAUAUCAACAAAUUCUCCCAACAUUUAUUCCAUCAUUGUAAUGAUAGCAUGUAACUUACAAAGAUGAUUUGCACAAAUAAAUUACCCUUGCAUAACAUUUUUU